rnacentral:rRNA from 1 species
UACGUAGGGUGCAAGCGUUGUCCGGAAUUACUGGGCGUAAAGAGCUCGUAGGUGGUUUGUCGCGUCGUCUGUGAAAUCCCGGGGCUUAACUUCGGGCGUGCAGGCGAUACGGGCAUAACUUGAGUGCUGUAGGGGAGACUGGAAUUCCUGGUGUAGCGGUGAAAUGCGCAGAUAUCAGGAGGAACACCGAUGGCGAAGGCAGGUCUCUGGGCAGUUACUGACGCUGAGGAGCGAAAGCAUGGGUAGCGAACAGGAUUAGA